CGCUCGCUCCUCGCUGGCUGGCUGUUGCUCUGGCGGUCCCGGGAGCGCGCGGAAUGAAAAAUGCGGAGAUUACAGAGAGGCGGAGCUAAUUGCCUCCCUUCAGCCAAUCGGAAGGCGAACCGACGCCGGUGAUUGCUGCCUGCUUGGCCAAAGAAACGGCGGUGGGAGCUUAUCCGCGAGUUGAACAGUGUGUUGUCUGGGACAAAUCAUUACAGGAAAUAAGGUGUUGGACACUUCCUUCCUUGGCCAUAUUGCUUAGAUUGCAGAAGAAUCAUCUGGCUGUUUAAUAUUCAGCCAGCACUAUGGAAAAGACAAUCGAACAGGUACAGGUGGUCCUUGAUUUAUGACCUGACAUAUGUGGCAUAACUUUACAAUCAUAUCCUGGCUUUCUCAGGCAUAAUCAUUAAGCGGAUGAAGGGAAAGAAUUGCCUGCUGAAGGGACGCAGGAAACUUCCCUGCAUUGGCAGAAGGAAAUUGGAGGGCUGGACUAGAGAAAAGAAACUCAGUUCCAAAGUUCUGUUCAUAAAUGCAGGCUUGCAGUUCCCCUCUUUCUUGCCAAAGAGAGCUGGAGAGACUCAACGAGGAUUUCAGAAGGACUUCUUCAGACAGUUUCCACAAGAGCAAAAGUGCUGCCUGUUUUGGACUGUUUUGUGGUGGA